rnacentral:rRNA from 1 species
GACGAACGCUGGCGGCGUGCUUAACACAUGCAAGUCGAACGGAAAGGCCCUGCUUUUGUGGGGUGCUCGAGUGGCGAACGGGUGAGUAACACGUGAGUAACCUGCCCUUGACUUUGGGAUAACUUCAGGAAACUGGGGCUAAUACCGGAUAGGAGCUCCUGCUGCAUGGUGGGGGUUGGAAAGUUUCGGCGGUUGGGGAUGGACUCGCGGCUUAUCAGCUUGUUGGUGGGGUAGUGGCUUACCAAGGCUUUGACGGGUAGCCGGCCUGGGAGGGUGACCGGCCACAUUGGGACUGAGAUACGGCCCAGACUCCUACGGGAGGCAGCAGUGGGGAAUAUUGCACAAUGGGCGGAAGCCUGAUGCAGCAACGCCGCGUGCGGGAUAACGGCCUUCGGUUUGUAAACCGCUUUCGCCUGUGACGAAGCGUGAGUGACGGUAAUGGGUAAAGAAGCACCGGCUAACUACGUG